rnacentral:rRNA from 2 species
UACGUAGGGGGCAAGCGUUAUCCGGAUUUACUGGGUGUAAAGGGAGCGUAGACGGUUCUGCAAGUCUGGAGUGAAAGCCCGGGGCUCAACCCCGGGACUGCUUUGGAAACUGUGGAACUAGAGUGCAGGAGAGGUAAGUGGAAUUCCUAGUGUAGCGGUGAAAUGCGUAGAUAUUAGGAGGAACACCAGUGGCGAAGGCGGCUUACUGGACUGUAACUGACGUUGAGGCUCGAAAGCGUGGGGAGCAAAC